UCUCUUCCACGAGUGCCGGAUC
rnacentral:siRNA from 1 species